rnacentral:rRNA from 1 species
GAUGAACGCUGGCGACGUGGAUAAGGCAUGCAAGUCAAGCGGCUGUAGCAAUACAGCAGCGGCGAAAGGGUUAGUAACACGUAGAUACAAACCCUCUACUCGGGCAUAGCUCGGAGAAAUCCGGGGUAAUUCCCGAUGGUCCGGAAACGGUAAAGGUUUAUUCCGGUAGAGGCUUGGUCUGCGCCCUAUCAGCUAGUUGGUGAGGUAAUGGCUCACCAAGGCAAUGACGGGUAGGCGGAGUGAGAGCUUGGCCGCCAACAAUGGCACUGAGACACGGUCCAGACUCCUACGGGAGGCAGCAGUAAGGAAUAUUGGUCAAUGGACGAAAGUCUGAACCAGCCAUGCCGCGUGAAGGAUGAAGGUCCUCUGGAUUGUAAACUUCUUUUAUCUGGGAACGAAAAAGGAAUUCUUUCUCACUUGACGGUACCAGAAGAAUAAGCACCGGCUAACUCCGUGCCAGCAGCCGCGGUAAGUCUCGCGUGA